AUAAAAGUUCAUACUCACAAGUGUUAGACCAUAAUUUACACGUGUUUAUAUUCCCCUAAACUUAAACUUUGACUUUAACUUGUUUUUGAGUUUAUUUUAGCUUUCACUAAAUCAUUUAUCUAUUUAUCUAGGUAAAAUGCAAGAGUGAAGGAAAGAUUGAUUUUUGGUAUUAAUAUGAAUAAUCGGAGUUAAGAAGAAUUGCGGUUCAAUGUGGAGCGAAACGUAAAUUUUUGGAUUCCGGCGAACCACCACUAUUGGUGGCACAAAUGGCGGUGCACCACCAUUUAAGGUGGUGCCAUAGCUUUUCCGGUCAUCAUAUAGGAAGAGCAAGAAGAAGAAUGGUGAUUGAGUAACAACAUGAAAUUCAUUCUAUUACUCUUUGGAUAAUAGACAUCCCAUGCUUUAAACAUCAUCAUUGCCUACUUGUUAUGUCAUCAUUUCCCUACAUUUUUGUCUUGUUUUUGACAAUUCAUGGACACUCUCACACUCUUCCUUCUCUCCCUUACGGUUGAAUUAGGGAAGAGGGCUGUUUUGGCUCUCUUUUUCCCCCAUUUUCACUUAUCUUUCCUCUAUAUAAUAAGCAUACAUCUAUCCACUACAAGACCACCAUCCACCCAUUCACCACUCUCUACCUUUUUCUCUCUUUUCCACCACAAACCUUCAUCUCCUUCUCCCAAAAUCCAAACCCAUCUUCUUCCUCUUCCUCCCCCAAUCUACUCCAUCUCCUCCAUCACCACCACCAUCUCUUACCCAAACCUCCAUUAACACCACCACCACUACACCAUUUCUCCAUUCUCUUAUCUAUACCAUUUUCUCCAUCCACUCCACCUAUUCACACAAAGCAUAGAUCAAGCUUCACCAUCUCUUAUCAUCAAACAUCAAGAGCAAGAAGGAGAGGAAAUCACCAUCAUCACCACCACCACCAAAACGUGUUAUACUUGAGGGAUAAGACUUGAUGUCUAGAAAGAAUCUGAAGUCUAGGAGGAGGAGUGAAUCUAUAGCUUGCUAUUUUUUAUUUAAGUUUGUGUAAUAAGGCUACUUUCAUGUUUGUUGUAAGAACAAUA